rnacentral:rRNA from 1 species
CCUACGGGAGGCAGCAGUGGGGAAUAUUGCACAAUGGGGGAAACCCUGAUGCAGCGACGCCGCGUGAGUGAAGAAGUAUUUCGGUAUGUAAAGCUCUAUUAGCAGGGAAGAAAAUGACGGUACUUGAUUAAGAAGCCCCGGCUAACUACGUGCCAGCAGCCGCGGUAAUACGUAGGGGGCAAGCGUCAUCCGGAUUUACUGGGUGUAAAGGGAGCGUAGACGGCAGCACAAGUCUGGAGUGAAAUCCCGGGGCUUAACCCCGGAACUGCUUUGGAAACUGUGCAGCUAGAGUGCAGGAGAGGUAAGUGGAAUUCCUAGUGUAGCGGUGAAAUGCGUAGAUAUUAGGAGGAACACCAGUGGCGAAGGCGGAUUACUGGACUGUAACUGACGUUGAGGCUCGAAAGCGUGGGGAGCAAACAGGAUUAGAUACCCUUGUAGUC